AUGGUGGUUAAUGAUGUACACUUUUUUCCCCGUCUUAUCGACAAUGGUGAGAGAACAUUAUAACUAAGCCAGUUGUGUCUGAAACCACAU